AAAAUAGUGAAAAGCUUUAUGUGGAGUGUGCCCAUUAGUUUUACUUAUUCAUGAAAUGACAAACAUAACAGACCACGUCGGUAGUGACCAGUCUUUCACAGUAUCUGAUAGGCGCUAGAAAUGCGCGUCUGUAGAACUCCUUUUUUUUUUGAUUGCUCAGUGACAAUCCUUCAAGCUAACAGCGUUAUCAAGCACGUGAUCAUCUGCAAUGUUAAGGUGCGCAUUACUGUUCCCGUGGCGAAGGAACGCCCGUUAGUGUAACCGUUUUGUUUCAUGUAGCGCAGGACAUUCACCGCGACGGCUACCGAGACGAUUCUGGAGCCCCGUCUUCCCACCUGACCAGUUGUACUUAUAAGUAGCUACGCCUGCCAUUUCUACAAGGACACAUCAGCGCCAGUGUGAAAGCGAUCAAGACGCUCACGGCUUCGGCCUCCGCGGCUCUGUACAGCAGCAUCGCUUUUACCCAAGCCAUCGGCCAAAGCCCUACCGGAAGUCGAGCAUCCCCAAGCCGCUUUCGGUAUUCGCGAUGACAUCUGCAGACUUGGACGUGUUGUGCUCCCACCUCUCGAGCAUGUCAGCAGAUACACUGCAUCGUUUGGAUGAGGAAGGCGGUGAUAUUCCGAAAGUCGCAGGAAUGUCUGUCGCAGAAGGCGUCAACGCUAUCCGCGUCCACCUGGAAGCUAUACCCGUCGUGAAGACUCGUCUGGCGCGUAUGGCCCGGAUAUACUGCUGCCUGAUGGUGCUACGCGUGAUACAGCCGUGGGUGCUUUAUCGUAUGGACCAUAUAGUUGGGAACCGCGGUGCUCUUUUUGCCACUAUGCUGAACAAUAUGCGGCGCAGACGCGUAGAAGGGUAUUGCGCCAGGGUAGUCGGAUCAUUAAUCUACACCUGCUUGUUGAUCCCGGACGAAGAGAGAGCGACUGAGCGUAGGCCUUAUUGCUUCGGCACGUGGUCUUCGAUGCCAUGCGUGGCCGUCUACCAACCGCCAGAGGGGCGUUCAGCUUUCCUCACGCGUUCUCUCCGAACGUUGCUGCGGGGAGAUCCCGACUCGUUCAUUUGCGGUUCCUAUCCCGACGUGGAAUCAGCCGUUGAUGCAGGCUGCCGAUUUUUUGCCGAAGACCUCUAGCGACUGCUACACAUGGCUUCCGCGACCAACACAGCCUGAUUUAGCCCCACCUAACCGGAGAUCUUGUCCACAUCUAGACUAACUCGCGACGGACCACGGAGAGCAAGCAAACACGCUUUCAUUGGACAAGGACUUCCACAAAGGCUUUAACCAGACAGGGAAUUUGGAACCUCUUGAAGUACGGCGCCUGCCACAGUUGGAACAUGUGCACAUGCAGCGAGAGCAACUGGUCUCGGACCCUUCAUCCUCAUUUUCUGGAAAGCAGCAAAACAGAUGUUCUAAGUCACUCGCGUUGACCGUCCGUAAGAUGCUUUAACAGUCUUGAAUUUCCUGCAAUGGCCGCAAACACGUACUUGAGCGCUUUAUUCAUACAUUUAUACAUGACGUGGCCACAAUUGCGUAGCCGAAAUUUUACAACCUGCGUGCUAUCAUCGGUGUAUUUAAGCAACGAGAAGAGAACAAAUUUAAUUUCUAAUGAAAAAUCUGUUCCCUUCUUUAGCAUGUUAACCUGCUUCAUGAGUGGUGCAAAUAAAUAACAUUUUAUGCAUUGUG